AGAAGGACUUUUUGUGUAGUCUAUGUGAAAGAAUCAUUAAAAGCUUUUAAUCUAGGAAAUGCUACGAUGAUGUUCAUGCUUGGAAAGACCAAUCUGGCAGCAAUACGGUAAAUGCAUUUGGAGGUGACUGUGAUUAAAAGGAAGCGGAGCCUUCUGGUUCAUAAUAAUAUAGAUAGGUCAUAAUAUAGUGUUCUGAGGUCAUAAUAAUACAGAAUUCUGAAAAUACUGAAUAAUGGCAAUGGUGAAGAUGGAGAUGAUAAAACAUCAGUACUUCUUUGGGGGAAGAGUGGAGACAAAAGGCUUGUUGAGGAAGUGCUAUUUGACUAGGUUCUUGAAGAAUGAGUAGAUUUAAAGACUUGGAGAUGAUAUUUUAGUCUGAAGAAAUGGCACAGAUGAUGCCAUGAAGGCUCCUCCUCAGCAUGUCCCAGGACAGUUUUAUAGCUCUGUAUGGAAUGCAGAUGGAUGGCUGCCUGUUUCCAUUUCAUGCUUUGGAUUUACAGGUGCAGGUUGUAUAGCUUCUCAGCGUUACUGAAAUUGGAAAACAUUUCUAAAGCUUGCAGCAUGUCAAGCCCUGUGAUUUUGAAUAAAAUUGGAUUUUACAGUC